GACGAACGCUGGCGGCGUGCUUAACACAUGCAAGUCGAACGAAGUGGCGAACGGGUGAGUAACGCGUAAUCAACCUGCCCUUCAGAGGGGGACAAAUGUUGGAAACGACUGCUAAUACCGCAUACUGAAGGAGGGGAUUGCGUCUGAUUAGCUAGUUGGAGGGGUAACGGCCCACCAAGGCGAGGAUCAGUAGCCGGUCUGGGGGGAUGGACGGCAACAGUGGGAAGGGGACACGGCCCAGACUCCUACGGGAGGCAGCAGUGGGGAAUCUUCCGCAAUGGACGAAAGUCUGACGGAGCAACGCCGCGUGAGGGAUGACGGCCUUCGGGUUGUAAAGCUCUGUUAAUCGGGACGCGGUACCGGAAUAGAAAGCCACGGCUAACUACGUGCCAGCAGCCGCGGUAAUUC
rnacentral:rRNA from 1 species